UACGUAGGGUGCAAGCAUUAAUCGGAAUUAUUGGGCGUAUAGGGCGCGUAGGCGGACCUUUUAGUCGGAUGUGAAAUCCUAGGGCUCAACCUUAGAACUGCAUCCGAAACUGGAGGUCUAGAGGGUAGGAGGAGAAAACGGAAUUCCACAAGUAGCGGUGAAAUGCGUAGAUAUGUGGAAGAACACCUGUGGCGAAAGCGGUUUUCUAUCUUAUUCCUGACGCUGAGGCGCGAAAGCAAGGGGAUCAAACAGG
rnacentral:rRNA from 2 species